UACGAAGGGGGCUAGCGUUGUUCGGAAUUACUGGGCGUAAAGGGUUUGUAGGCGGUUAUACAAGUCAGUGGUGAAAUCCUGGGCUUAACCUCAGAAUUGCCAUUGAAACUGUAUAGCUAGAGAAUGUUAGAGGAAAGUGGAAUUCAUAGUGUAGGAGUGAAAUCCGUAGAGAUUAUGAGGAAUAUCGAUGGCGAAGGCAGCUUUCUGGGACAUUUCUGACGCUGAGAAACGAAAGCGUGGGUAGCAAACAGG
rnacentral:rRNA from 1 species